UACGUAGGGUGCGAGCGUUGUCCGGAAUUAUUGGGCGUAAAGGGCUCGUAGGCGGUUUGUCGCGUCGGGAGUGAAAACCUUGGGCUUAACUCAGGGCUUGCUUUCGAUACGGGCAGACUAGAGGUAUGCAGGGGAGAACGGAAUUCCUGGUGUAGCGGUGAAAUGCGCAGAUAUCAGGAGGAACACCGGUGGCGAAGGCGGUUCUCUGGGCAUGAUCUGACGCUGAGGAGCGAAAGUGUGGGGGGCGAACAGG
rnacentral:rRNA from 1 species